UCCCUGGCUCAGGAUGAACGCUAGCGGCAGGCUUAACACAUGCAAGUCGAGGGGUAGAGUUCUUCGGAACUUGAGACCGGCGCACGGGUGCGUAACGCGUAUGCAAUCUACCUUUUACAGAGGGAUAGCCCAGAGAAAUUUGGAUUAAUACCUCAUAGUAUAAUGACUCGGCAUCGAGAUAUUAUUAAAGUCACAACGGUAAAAGAUGAGCAUGCGUCCCAUUAGCUAGUUGGUAAGGUAACGGCUUACCAAGGCAACGAUGGGUAGGGGUCCUGAGAGGGAGAUCCCCCACACUGGUACUGAGACACGGACCAGACUCCUACGGGAGGCAGCAGUGAGGAAUAUUGGACAAUGGGCGCAAGCCUGAUCCAGCCAUGCCGCGUGCAGGAUGACGGUCCUAUGGAUUGUAAACUGCUUUUGUACAGGAAGAAACACUGGUUCGUGAACCAGCUUGACGGUACUGUAAGAAUAAGGAUUCGGCUAA
rnacentral:rRNA from 1 species